rnacentral:lncRNA from 1 species
GUCCGGGUUUAGUUCGAAAUUCAGGUUAAAGAUUUUAUGUCCAGCCUUAAUUAACGUAUUUGGAUCUUAAUUGGAUUUUAAUUUGGACUAUAAAAAUAAUUAAAGGGAAAUAGAAUACUUUUUGUCAUUUUAAUGAAUUUAAUAUAUUUAUUAGAAUGAUAGUUUUUUUUUGUUUUACGGCUUUUUUGUUUUACGGUUUUUGUUGUUGUAAUGUUUAAAUUUUUUUGUAUUUAUUAAAUUAAUAAAA